GUCUUCAUGGUGUAACGGUAGCACACUCGGCGCGUAUUCGAGAGGUCCAGGUUCAAGUCCCGGCGAGGACA
rnacentral:tRNA from 1 species